ensembl:lncRNA
CCCUGAAGGCAGUCACCUCCUCGACGUGGUGACGUCACUCUGUUUCCUUCACAGCCUCAGGUCCUGGCAUCUAGUACUUGCCAGCUAACAAACAUUCAAACAACUUGGCGAUAAACUGCCAUUUCAUGGAUUAUUUAACUAGUCAGCAACUGGUUAAUGCAGAAGUGACAUUUCCUUUCUUCUUUCGUUUUUGCUUAUACACAAAUACCUAUCAGUUGCUAAUUCUUCCACAGUAUCUGCUGUGUUCUUGGUGUCUCCGACAAGACUGUGAGUGGCUUGAAAACACAGAUUGCCUUCGAAUUGUAGAACUAGGAACUGGGGAGGGGCAGGCACAGCAUCUUUGAGAUAACCCAGGAGCCACGACAGAGAUGGGGAAAUGAGGGCAGAGAGACCGGCCCAACCUGGGAGGCCUCAGCGCAAGCAGGACUGUGGGCUCUGACGGUGCCUCAGAAGUGAAUCAGCACCACUGCCUUCUGUCCUUGGGAUACUCCACUGAGCGCAACCGUGGGACACGCCAACAGCCAAGCGGGGCCCUCAGCCCGGCCUUGCCCUGCAGGCACUCACAGCAGGACAGACACGGCUGGAAGGAGGCGUUCUCCAAAGGAAACUGGCGCUGUGCGGACACAGGCAGAAUUAAAGUUUCAUGUUCAACCCGAAGUCUCUGAUAAGCCCUUAAGUGCAAGCUGGUGUAGUGGAUAUGUGGGCGGCAGGCCUGUGACUCAGCGUUUCCCGCCGGAACGUUGUCAGCUACACGAAGCUGUGCCACUUACAGGAGAACCACUGGAUACUGAGACUCGGACGAGGUCAGCAGAGAAAGCAGCUAAACGGAUUCACCUGUUCUCUCAGUGACUGUUGAGUAAUGAAGGCCUGAGGCAGGACUGAGGGUACCUGUCCCACUGAGACUGCAGUGAGCUUUGAUGGUGCCUGUAUCAGGUGCAGGGGAUAAUGCAGCGGCUCUGAUGUCGUGGAGCUUACAUGGACAUCACAGAGACAGUUCACCCAAUCACCUCUCAGGAAAAGAGUUCAACAGAAAUCAUAACCAUUCAGAAUGGAGGCCAAGAACUGACCCCAUGUGGUGGCACAUGCCUGUGGUCCCAGCUACUCAGAAGGCUGAGGUGGGAGGAUCAUCUGAACCCAGAAGGUCAAGGCUGCAGUGAGCCAUGAUGGCACUGCUGCACUCCUGCCUAGGUGACAGAGUGAGACCCUGUCUUCAAAAGAUAAAAUGAAACAAUCCCUGGCCCCAGGUCAUCCUCUUGCAUAUGUUCAAAUGCUUGCUGUCCUGUAAAGACGCUCCACAAGCAUCAGGAGGAAGAAGGCUGGUUGAGUCCCAGAAUAACACACAGCAGGCAAAGUGCUGCUGUGGUUUCAGAAAGGACUUGCGACGCCAGGUGCAGUGGCUCACACCUGUAAUCCCAGCACUUUGGGAGGCCAAGGCAGGCAGAUCACCUGAGGUCAGGAGUUCGAGACCAGUCUGGCCAACUUGGUGAAACCCUGUCUCUACUAAAAAUACAAAAAUUGGCUGGGCAUGGUGUCACACGCCUAUAAUCCCAGCUACUCAGGAGGCUGAGGCAACUAGAAGCCCUUGAACCUGGGAGGUGGAGGUUGCAAUGAACCGAGAUCACGCCACGGAACUCUAGCCUGGGCGACAGAGCAAGACUCUGUCUCAAAAAAAAAAAAAAAAAAAAAAUGGUGCAAUCUCUAGAGACAUUGAAUUAAAGUCCACUUUGCUAGUUCUCCAGGAGCUUGUGAAGUCUGGUUCUCUCCUCUUUCUGAAACAUCCAGUCCUCAACUGGGGAGUCUUUCCCAAUCUUGUGUCUCAUAAACUCAUUCCUCUUCUUUAUGAGGGUUAUGGCCAGGCAGGUCAUCAAGGUGCAAGUGCAGUCUC